CACUCAACUCUUGGGAGUUCAGCGUAGAAAUAAGAAAACGAAGAAGAGUCGGAUGGAGGGAUUUGCACGCAAUUAGAGGUGCUCAAUGAGCAGACCAAUGGGAAAGUGUAUGAGAAGAGAGAUGUGAGAAGAAGGAGCAGAAGAAGAAG
ensembl:ncRNA F11H8.7 ncRNA